UAGGUUGGUUGAUAUAUCCUUUUCUUGUCUCUGAAACCAAGCCUAGAUAGAUGAGAUCUUUGUAGUUGACAUUAAUUGCUUUACUGUUUUACACUGUUCUUUUCAUGGUAGUUGCCAUACUAGAAUAUUCACUAUUCUAGACUUUCCUAGCUUACAUUCAUGUUGGUCCUCAUCAGUCAUCACCUUUUGUUUUUUCUUUUUUCCUCCUUGCAAUAAUUAUAUCUUUGUGGAAUAAGCUAUUAUAACGUUUCAGAAGCACUUUUCUGGUUACCUGGCUUUUGAGAAUUAUGAAGGGGGUUGGCAUGUUUAAUAAUAAUAACUGCAUUCCUGUUCCAAGCGGAAGCUGAAAUGGAAUAUUUUGUUUUGCUAGUGAAGAUACUCUUUCUUUUCAAAAGUUGUGCAAUGAUUCAAUACUGUUUGUGAAUUUGUCAAUUUGGUAGUGUUUUCUCUGUUUUAGGGGACAUAAUGCCCCUUCUAGU